AUGACGAGACUCCGAUCACUGGAGCUGCAUGGAUUCAAACGUAGCGAACACAAGGCUGCAUUGGAGAGUGCUCUCACAAGGAUGCAUCUCCUUGGCAACUUGAAGCUGCAAGGUGAUAAGAUCCAUUCAUGUGUCUUCAACGGGCAGCAUCUUCAAAAUCUUCAGAUAGUAGUGCUAGAUGGCACUGUCAAAUGGCCUGAGGCUGGAUGGGAUGUUCGCAAGGUCCGACCGAACCUUGUUGAGCUUACAGUGGUCAAGCAUAGCAGUGAGGAUGUGCCCCAACACAUCAAGGACGAACUACGGGAUAUGCUGAAGGAAACAAUUGCUAUCUAG
rnacentral:rRNA from 1 species